rnacentral:lncRNA from 1 species
UCACAUCUGUUCGCCCCGACCCAAUCGCGGCCGCAGCCUUUUGGGAAUUUUAUACUUCGCGUUUUAUGAAAAAAUAAAUUCCUCAAAAAAUUAAAAAAAAAACUUGGUUCGUGUGUGUUGGGCCGGCCGAGUCGCAAACACAUAUAACAAUCCCGGGAUUUGAGCUGCCAUGUCGACGAUCCCUGCUUGGCAACACCCUCAAGGUUCAAAAUAGACCGAGAUCGAAGAGUUCGGUGUGCCAAUAUCCGAGAUUACAAGUUCAGGGUUUAAUUUAGCUUUCGUCUAUAGAUUCAAGCUUCGUUUUGAACUUUUUCCUCAUCUCUUCGGCUCUGGCUGUCUGGUCGACUGCUUAGUCGUGUGCUGUAAUAACUACAAACAUACAAUACAGUCAGAAAAAGGGAUAACCCCAUGAAAUUACCUCCUUGGGCAUACAUGAUGUAUGAAAGCUCCAGAACAAUUCAUUAUAUGGCAUCCAAAUUGAAUGGGCAACACGCUGUUACACAACGAACAAGAAAAAACAGGUGGUAGAGCAAAAGUGGGAAACGAGGAGAGGAAGAACACAUACACCUUGAACGAAGACAUUCUCACAAACAUGGACGAGAGAAAGUGGUACGCUCCUAGAUGUCCAGUCCAAAUUAAGCAAAUCCUUUGGUGAGCAACAGAGCACCUCAAACAAAGAAUUAGAAGUAAGCCACCGUGUUAAUUGUAGCUCAGGCGACAGUACAUGGACGAAGAACAAUAUGAUCGAAAAUGGCUGUUGCAUGUCGAAGGGGGAAGUUAUUCACUUGUGCCUUGUUCACUGUCAUCCACAUGUUAAUUAUAGUAGAUCAAGGGGAAAAACAUGUGCUCACGUACUCAAGCAAGAAAGGAAAACUGGAGAUUAAACUUGAGAAAGGGAAUAAAAAAAAACAAGAUAGGCAGCGUGCGUGUACGUACCUUGAGAGGGAGAAGGCGAGGGUGCUCGGCCGCAACGUGACAUCCUUCUUGCCUCGAUCUGUUCGAUCCAACUGAUGGAUGGGCUCCCCCUGAUAACCUCCGACAGCGCCCGUCCCGUUGCCUCAGUUGACAGUCACAAGUGAAAAAUGCAACUGUUGAUUCAUCCUAAAGCUUCUUUCCUAGUGCGACGCGACAUCCUUCCUGCCUCGAUUUUUUCGAUCCAACAUGCGGAUCAUAUGACACCCUUCCUUCUUAGUUGUAAGGUUACUUCUGUCUGGCGAAUAAGGAUGAGGUUAGAUCCAAAUCCACAACAAUGCAGCAGAGACGGGAUUUCUAGAUGGAAAUAGUCAAAUAGAUAAAGCGAGACACACAUGAGCAAAUUACAUGAAGGAUUUGAGAGGUAAAUGAGGCAAGCAUGGGAGAAACGUACCUCCACUAAAAACGACAGUUACAAGAAGUCGAAGGAUGAUCUUCAAUCGACAUUAUUGGAUGUUGUCGGUCGCUUGAAAUAUCAGUACAUAGCAGGUGAGGGAAAUACCAAGCACCUCUCGCACCGUAUGUCGAGAUAGGUUGGCAGAGUAGGAGGUCGAUCGCCGCGCUGUCUCCCCGCAUCCCUACAUCGUGU